rnacentral:rRNA from 1 species
UACAGAGGUCUCAAGCGUUUGUUCGGAUUCAUUGGGCGUAAAGAGCGCGCAGGCGGUCGUUGAAGUCGCGUGUGAAAGCCCCCCGGCUCAACUGGGGAGGGUCACGCGAUACUGAUCGACUCGAAGGCAGGAGAGGGUAGUGGAAUUCCCGGUGUAGUGGUGAAAUGCGUAGAUAUCGGGAGGAACACCAGUGGCGAAGGCGACUACCUGGCCUGUUCUUGACGCUGAGGCGCGAAAGCUAGGGGAGCAAACGGG